rnacentral:lncRNA from 10 species
GUCCAGCUGGCUUCACCUCUCACCAGCAGGGGACAGACAAGCAGGAAGGGACAAGGAGAUCAAAGGGCAGGAGUGGAGGCAGGGUGGGGAGGAGGGGGAAAUGGGACCCUGGGAGCAGUCACAGGUAAGAUAAGGUAGGAGGAAGGUGUAGAGAGCUAUGAACAAUAGCUCAGGCUGAGGAAUUUGGACCCAACAAAGGAAGCCUGAGAGUGGGCUGGAGACACUGCAGUGAGCCGAGAUCACACCACUGCACUCCCGCCUGGGCAACAGUGAGAGAUACUCUGUCUCA